rnacentral:rRNA from 1 species
GACGAACGCUGGCGGCGUGCUUAACACAUGCAAGUCGAACGGUGAAGCGCCUUCCUUUUUGGUGGGUGUGGAUGAGUGGCGAACGGGUGAGUAACACGUGAGUAACCUGCCCCCUUCUUCUGGAUAACCGCAUGAAAGUGUGGCUAAUACGGGAUAUUCUGGGUCUGUCGCAUGAUGGGUCUGGGAAAGAUAUUGUUUCGGUGGGGGAUGGGCUCGCGGCCUAUCAGCUUGUUGGUGGGGUGAUGGCCUACCAAGGCGGUGACGGGUAGCCGGCCUGAGAGGGUUGACGGUCACACUGGGACUGAGACACGGCCCAGACUCCUACGGGAGGCAGCAGUGGGGAAUAUUGGACAAUGGGGGCAAGCCUGAUGCAGCGACGCCGCGUGAGGGAUGGAGGCCUUCGGGUUGUGAACCUCUUUCGCCAGUGAAGCAGGCCUGCCUCGUUUGUGGGUGGGUUGACGGUAGCUGGAUAAGAAGCGCCGGCUAACUACGUG